UCAAGAAUCAAAGGCGUGAGAAAAUCCCCAGUUUAAAAGCAGAAUUGAAAACGUUGCAAAUCCAUGGGGCUCCGCAUUGCAUUUACAGUACAAGCUAGCAUGUUGUCGCGCUUCAACUCAAAUCUCGUUGAGGGGCUUGAACUCGAGACCUGAUGCUUAAGAAGGCAUAACUCCUACCAGGAUUAACACUUAUUAGUACCAUCUGACAAUUCUUUUGUGGCUAUCUUGAUGUCCUGGCCAGAUCAAGGAACUAUAUAAUACACGAGGCAAAACUUUGAACGCCCCUAACCCCCCCUCCAAAAAAAAAAGAA